AGGACCGGUAGUUUAGUGGUAAAACACUCGUUGCUUGCCGAUAUCCAGAAGAUCGCCACCUUUUAGGUGUGAGUAGAGCCUGAGAUAGGAGAAAGCUGGCCAGCAGUCUGACUCAACGAGAGACCUUGGUUCGAAUCCAAGCCGGUCCAC